AAAAACCGAACCAUCGCCGGAGGAGCGAUGUGCGGGAGGGAGCCGCGGGCAGCAGCACCCACCGCUGCUGGGGCUGCGUGCGGGGACAGACGGUGACACCAGCCUCCGGCCACCCGGUGACCCGGCCACCAGGCGGGACAGCUGCCAUGCCUUCUGCUGUGGGUACGUGGUGGAGGGGCCGUGGGCAGCCUGUGGCAGCUCAGGCGGGGACAGUGAUGGGGGUGCUGUGAACAUGGGGCCGAGCAGUGCGAAUUGCCCCUGCUGCCACGGUGGCCGUGCUGGGGGCUGGGGGCCUGCUCUGGGUGCCCCUGACCCGGCUCUGGGCACAGCGCUGGGGCGGCUGGAGGCUCGCUUGCAGGGCCUUGGUCCUGGUCCAGUUCUUUUCGUUUCGUUUUGUUUUGCCUUCCUUCGCUUUGGGUGGGGACAGAGAACUUGGCCUCCAGAAGAACAGCGAUUCAGUGAGAAACAGAGUUCGCCAUGGACAAGACAAAACAGCCUAGAACAGCAAAAGGAAACUGGCUGAAAAUGCAGAAUUCGG
rnacentral:lncRNA from 1 species